rnacentral:tRNA from 1 species
UAGCUCAGUGGUAGAGCAUUUUCCUGGCAUGCACAAGGCCCUGGGUUCAAUCCCCAG